UUAAGCAUCCAUGGCUGAAUGGUUAAAGCGCCCAACUCAUAAUUGGUAAAUUUGCGGGUUCAAUUCCUGCUGGA
rnacentral:tRNA from 165 species